UAGUGCUGGAUGUGUUGGAUGAGGAAUUUAUAUAUGUUUGAGGUCUCGAAUAUAUAAAUUACUGAUUAUAUAAAGUUCUGAAAUCAGUAAUAUCAACUAAAUAGAAAACUAUGCUCAGGAUACUGCCGCGAAUGCUGGUCUACCCGUUUGGAGAUUCAAGUUUAUACAAGCAGUAUAGGCUCCGGCAGUUCUUGUAACUCUACUUGGUGCAUUGAAUAUAAUGGGGAUGACUAUUCUUGUUAUGGAUAAUCCUCUGGAAAGUGAUCCUGUGCAAUCAAAGACUGCGUUUGUUACGUUCAAGGAUGCCAAAGCUCUUGAAAUCGCACUCUUGUUAUCGGCUCUUGUUCUUGG